ACAAUGUAACUUAACUAAAAUGUAACUUUCUAUUUAUAAAAAGGAAAAUGAAAAAUUGUAUAAUCAAGUGAAAGAUCUCCAAGAACAAAACAAAAAUGAGGAGUGAAUGUUCAUGGAAAACCAGAGCUUAUUCAGCAAAUUAGUUUCCUUAAAGAAUAUCAAGAAAGAGAAAACAGGUUUAUUGAAAGACCUCAAAAGACUGAAGCAAGACAAGCAAGCUCUUGAAGCAGACUUGGGAAAAAUGAAGACAGAGAAGAAGCCAGAGAGCAGCAAUAAUUGCAAGAUUGAAGAAACUCAAAGAUUAUUUUGAAUUCGUGGCACUGUGUGCACAGUUGUUUGCAGUCCUCCCAGCCAGAUGCCGACCUUCCAGGGCCUGGUCUCCCUUUUUAUGCCUGGGCCUGAAACGUAAGCUCUCAAGUGUUUGACAAAUGAACAGACAACGCCGUGCUGUGUUUGUAGAAGACACGAAGGUGAAUAUGGCAUUCCCCACUGGGGAAAACAAAGGAGGAGUUAGAUAAGAAUGCAGAAAAGUUUAAUAUUAAAAAAUUAGAAAUAAACAGGAGGGUGCUAGUAAGGGUCUCAGGGAGAAGAAGCAUUUGAGCUGGGUCCUGGCAGGUGGAGGGCCUCGGGAGGGGAGGAGGGAGGCCGCGCAGCUGUGUCUCAUGGGCGUGUCACUGAGCGCACCUGCCCUGGGCCACAGGUGGACAGGGCACAGGGCCGGAAAGAUCGAUCGGUGGAGCCCUUGUUUGCCAAAGGAAGUAUCUUUUCUCUGUGAUUUUAUGAUCUUCCGUGUAAGAUACGUACAAAUAAAAUCCACUAACCUGUUUGUAAGAAAUGUACUUUCCUUGUCUGUAAAAUAGAAUAAGAAUCAUUGCUCCUAUCAUGUGUUAUUUGUGUUAAAUAAAAUCAUACAUACUUUGAGAAUUGGGACUGUGAACACAGCCUUCUUUUAGUAGCACACUAGACUGGACACAACCUUGCUACUUCCAUUGUUUUGUUUUGGGUUUUUUGCCUCUUAUUUUUUCAUAAUGCUUUCAUUAGAUAGGCAUUGGUUUUUAUGUGAAAUAUUUUAAUUUAGUUAUUUCUAUGUUUUGAAAAUUUUGGGUUAUUGAGUUACUUUAUCUUAUAGGUGAAAAAUUACAUAAAAUAAAACUUUUAGAAGAAAAACAUGAAAUGAGUCACCUGAAGAAAAAAUUACAGCAGUGUGCUGAAAAUCAGGAGCUUCUGGGUAACGAUGCAGUUCAGCUUAAGGAAGCAAAUGAAGAAACUGAGAAUCUCAGACCUGAGGGGAAUGAUCGCUCCAGAAUGUGUUCCUCUAGAUGAACGCUGUUAGCUUUAACAGCCAGCUCUUUGCCUCAUGUCACUGAACCAGUGCUCUAAAUUCUGCUAAUUAAAACAUCUGAUUUGGGCUUGGUUUGCUUUUCUUUGUGUAGUCUGUUUUAGAUUCAACUGAGAAUACAGUCCGCUGUCCAUACCUAGGGGCUCCCUACCCAGCAGAUUCAACCAACUGUGGAUUGAAAGUAUUUGGGAAAAAGCAGGAAGUUCCACAAAGCAACACUUGAAUUUGCCACACACCAGCAACUACUUACAUAGCAUUCACUUUGCAUCAUAUACCAUGAGUAAUCUAGAGGUGAUUUGAAGGAUACGGGAGGAUGCACGUAAGUUCCAUGCAAGUCCUCUGCCACUUUAUACAAGAGACAUCAGCAUCCGUGGACGUUGUCAUCUGGGGGGAGUCCUGGAACCAGUGCCCCAUGGUUACUGAGGGACUGGAAGUCCAGGCUCCUUAUCCCAGCCUGGCAGGUCCCCACAUGGUCUGAAUUCUGCCUGUGCCACACUUCCCUGGUCACUCUCCUCCAGCCCUGCCAGACUGCCCUCUGAUUCUUGAACAGGCCACACUCAUUGCAUUUCAUGUCUGGCCCCUAGAAAUACCC
rnacentral:lncRNA from 1 species